rnacentral:rRNA from 1 species
UACAGAGGUGGCAAGCGUUGUUCGGAAUUACUGGGCGUAAAGGGCGCGUAGGCGGCCCACUAAGUCAGACGUGAAAUCCCCCGGCUUAACCUGGGAACUGCGUCUGAUACUGGAUGGCUUGAGUUCGGGAGAGGGAUGCGGAAUUCCAGGUGUAGCGGUGAAAUGCGUAGAUAUCUGGAGGAACACCGGUGGCGAAGGCGGCAUCCUGGACCGAUACUGACGCUGAGGAGCGAAAGCCAGGGGAGCAAACGGG